rnacentral:rRNA from 1 species
CCCCUUAGAUGUUCUGGGCCGCACACGCGCUACACUGAAGGAGGCAGCGUGUACUCCUGGAUCGAAAGAUUUGGGUAACCCGCGAAUCUCCUUCGUGCUAGGGAUUGAGGUUUGCAAUUAUCCUUCAUGAACGAGGAAUUCCCAGUAAGUGCAAGUCAUAAGCUUGCGCUGACUACGUCCCUGCCCUUUGUACACACCGCCCGUCGCUACUACCGAUUGAAUGAUUUAGUGAGGACUUCGGACUGGGACCGAUGCGGCUUUCGGGCUGCGUCGGUAUUCUGGAAAGAUGUCCAAACUGUAUCAUUUAGAGGAAGUAAAAGUCGUAACA